AAGCAGGUAUCCGCCUCUGGCCGGGAGUUCUGGAGCCAUAGAUUUCUCAGGGUCUCUAUUUAGGUGAUGGAAGAUAUGACACAAGCGACCCAGUUUCAUGGGAAACGAAGG